CGCCUCGCGGGCCGUAGGAGGAAGAUGGCGGUGGAAUCGCGCGUUACCCAGGAGGAAAUUAAGAAGGAGCCAGAGAAGCCAAUCGACCUCGAGAAGACAUGCCCGCUGCUGCUGCGGGUCUUCACCACCAACAACGGCCGCCACCACCGAAUGGACGAGUUCUCCCGGUGAAACGUACCGUCCAGCGAGUUGCAGAUCUACACUUGGAUGGAUGCAACCUUGAAAGAACUGACAAGCUUAGUAAAAGAAGUCUACCCAGAAGCUAGAAAGAAAGGCACUCACUUCAAUUUUGCAAUCGUUUUUACAGAUGUUAAAAGACCUGGCUAUCGAGUUAAGGAGAUUGGCAGCACCAUGUCUGGCAGAAAGGGGACUGAUGAUUUCAUGACGCUGCAGUCACAGAAGUUCCAGAUAGGAGAUUACUUGGACAUAGCAAUUACCCCUCCAAAUCGGGCACCCCCUCCUUCAGGGUGCAUGAGACCAUAUUAAAUUCUAUUCACUAUUUCUUGAAUUUAUUUUUUGGUCAGUUGUGUAAAAUAAACUUUUCCUCCCCUGAUUAUUGCCAUUAAGCCUUUAAAUUCCAAACAAAUUAUCAUGCAUCAUCUAUUUAGGAAUUAGAUUUGGAUGUGCUAUCGUAUGGUUACUAAUAGAAAGUCCGUAUGUUUCAAGCCCUUCUGUAAAAUAUGAAGAAAAGUGCUCUUAGCAUUCUGUGUAAAACUGUACUGUUAAAUAUAUGUAUGUAAUCAGCUUGAGUGUGCAAGUUAAUGGAGGCCUGGGAGCAGGGCUUAUACUAAGUAGUAGAGGACAGUAUGGUUAAGCCCACAGCGGGCAGAACAAGAAAGCAACGAGAUUGUAUGAAAUCAAAGAUGAGUUUGUGGUGUAGACUGCUGUAUGCAGUUGGAAAGGAUGUGCAAGAGUGAGCUCAAGUGGCAGCAGAGGCAGUUUGGAAUAGUAAGUAUAAGCUGAGGCAAGUUGGAGCAGCUGUGUUGGAGGUGAUUGGCCUGCCUUGAUUAGGGUACCAUGACAUAAAAGGCUAACAGGUACCACAGUAAGGGCUUCUUAUAUUUUUAACAUGUGGGGAAUAGGGCAUUUUAAAGGCUGGAACCAGUUCAGAGGAAACAAGGAUUUGGACUUAUGGUAAAAGUGGAAAGGUUUACCUUGAAGAUCUGCAAAUGGAGGCAGGGGUGCAGGAGGAAUUUUAAGACCGACAGAGAAGCACUAAAGACAACGUUAGGUUGAGUGAAUAGGAGGUAUUCACACAUCCUCCUAGGUGCUGGGUACUGGCCUGCAUCUGAUUUAAGAGGCAGUGAUUAAGACCAGUGCAUAGAAACAUUUAAAUCCUGAUUGCAGCAGUGGCUCUGUAACCUUGGAUAAUUUACUUGAAUCUUUGUUUUGUAAAAUGGAGAUAAUGGCCUAUAGGACUGUGAAGACUGAAUAUUUUAAAAGAGCUUAGAAUAGUGCUUGACAGAUGAGAAACCAUAAAUACUGGUUAUUAGCUGUAAAGUGGGAUUAAAACCGGAACUCUUCUCUUCCAUGGCA